rnacentral:tRNA from 1 species
GGGUCUGUAGCUCACCUGGGAGAGCAUCUCGUUCGCAACGAGAAGGUAACGAGUUCGAGUCUCGCCAGAUCCACCA